AUGAUACGCGAGGAACCGUUACCUGGGCUUAAAUGCUUAAUGACGUACUGGGAAACUGGUAUUUCUUCGGACAUUUUGCAAGGUGCUGCAUGGUUGUCGUCAGCUCGUGCCGUGAGGUGUCGGGUUAAGUCCCAUAACGAGCGCAACCCCUAUUGUUAGUUGCCAUCAGGUCAUGCUGGGGACUCUAACAAAACUGCCCGCGUAAGCGUGGAGGAAGGUGGGGAUGACGUCAAAUCAGCACGGCCCUUACGUCCAGGGCUACACACGUGCUACAAUGGCCGGUACAGAGGGCAGCCACUUGGUGACAAGGAGCAAAUCUCAAAAGCCGGUCUCAGUUCGGAUCGGAGUCUGCAACCCGACUCCGUGAAGCUGGAUUCGCUAGUAAUCGCGCAUCAGCCACGGCGCGGUGAAUACGUUCCCGGGCCUU
rnacentral:rRNA from 1 species